GGGUACAUGGCGCAGUGGUAGCGCGCGCGCUUCGCAUCUGGUGUUUGCGUGAGGUCUAGGGUUCAAUCCCCUAUGUAUCCA
rfam:Serendipita vermifera MAFF 305830 unplaced genomic scaffold scaffold_52, whole genome shotgun sequence.